GGAAAGACUACAGGAUUCCCCUAGUAACGGCGAGUGAAGCGGGAAUAGCUCAAAUUUGAAAUCUCAUAGGGUUACCUAUGCGAAUUGUAGUUUAGAGAAGCGUUUUCGGGGGUGACUUGGGUAUAAGUCCUCUGGAACGGGGCAUCAUAGAGGGUGAGAAUCCCGUUUAUGAUCCAAUGUUCACUCCUAUGUGAUACGCUUUCCAAGAGUCAGGUAGUUUGGGAUUGCUGCCUAAAAUGGGUGGUAAAUACCAUCUAAAGCUAAAUAUUGGCGAGAGACCGAUAGCGAACAAGUACCGUGAGGGAAAGAUGAAAAGAACUUUGAAAAGAGAGUUAAACAGUACGUGAAAUUGCCAAAAGGGAAACGCUUGAAACCAGUAUUGCCUGUUCGUAAUCAGCCGUGGGGCCUGCAAGGGUUAUUACGGUGCACUUGCGUAUAGGCAGGUCAACAUCAGUUUGGUUCCGGGGAAAAAGUUGGAGGAAGGUAGCUUGGUACUUCGGUAUCUCGUGUUAUAGCCUCCAAUCCUACCUGGGACUGGACUGAGGUCUGCAGCGUUUUUUGGGUACCCGAUCGCCUUCUGAGCCUAAUUUCUAGACAGCACGCUGACUAGAGGUUAGUGUAAGGGAGCCCGGUUGGUUCAUCACACCAACGCUUAGGAUGUUGACGAAAUGGUUUUAAACGACCCGUCUUGAAACACGGACCAAGGAGUCUAACAUAUAUGCGAGUAUUUGGGUGGCAAACCCUUAUGCGAAAUGAAAGUGAACUUAGGUGGGAUCUUUAUUGUGCACCAUCGACCGGUCUGGAUUUUUUUGAUAGAUCUGAGUAAGAGCAUAUCUGUUGGGACCCGAAAGAUGGUGAACUAUGCCUGAAUAGGGUGAAGCCAGAGGAAACUCUGGUGGAGGCUCGUAGCGAUUCUGACGUGCAAAUCGAUCGUCAAAUUUGGGUAUAGGGGCGAAAGAC
rnacentral:rRNA from 1 species